rnacentral:lncRNA from 1 species
CAACUAAGGUCAAGUCAGGGAAUCCACAUACUUUGGUUUGUCUCAACAAGUAUAUCUCAACAAGUAUAUCUCGCCCAACGACAAUUAAGUCAGUAGCUCUCUGACUCCAACCUUGCCCAACGAGAACAUACUUGCCCAAUGUAUAGAGGGUGUUGCUCCCUCCACCUCCCCAAGUGGGUCCUGCACCUCCCCACUAUUUUAAUUUAUUUCAAAAAUAUUCUACACCUCUCUACUAUUUUAUUUUAUUCCAAAUACCCUACACCUCUCCACUAUCCUUAACAAU